rnacentral:rRNA from 1 species
CAGCCGCCACGGUAAUACGGAGGGUGCAAGCGUUAAUCGGAAUUACUGGGCGUAAAGCGCACGCAGGCGGUCUGACAAGUCAGAUGUGAAAUCCCCGGGCUUAACCUGGGAACUGCAUUUGAAACUGUCAGGCUGGAGUCCUGUAGAGGGGGGUGGAAUUCCAGGUGUAGCGGUGAAAUGCGUAGAGAUCUGGAGGAAUACCGGUGGCGAAGGCGGCCCCCUGGACAAAGACUGACGCUCAGGUGCGAAAGCGUGGGGAGCAAACAGGAUUAGAUACCCGCGUAGUCCCUGUCUCUUAUAA